CGGCUCAGUAACACGUGGACAACCUGCCCUUAGGUUGGGUAUAAACCCGGGAAACUGGGUAUAAUACCCGAUAGGUCUCGAUUGCUGGAAUGCAUCGAGAUUUAAAGCUCCGGCGCCUAAGGAUGGGUCUGCGGCCUAUCAGGUAGUAGUGGGUGUAGCGUACCUACUAGCCUACGACGGGUACGGGUUGUGAGAGCAAGAGCCCGGAGAUGGAUUCUGAGACACGAAUCCAGGCCCUACGGGGUGCAGCAGGCGCGAAAACUUUACAAUGCUGGCAACAGCGAUAAGGGAACCUCGAGUGCCAGGUUACAAAUCUGGCUGUCGAGAUGCCUAAAAAGCAUUUCAUAGCAAGGGCCGGGCAAGACCGGUGCCAGCCGCCGCGGUAACACCGGCGGCUCGAGUGGUAACCGUUAUUAUUGGGUCUAAAGGGUCUGUAGCCGGCCGGAUAAGUCUCUUGAGAAAUCUGGCAGCUUAACUGUCAGGCUUUCAGGAGAUACUGUCUGGCUCGAGGCCGGGAGAGGUGAGAGGUACUUCAGGGGUAGGGGUGAAAUCUUGUAAUCCUUGAAGGACCACCAGUGGCGAAGGCGUCUCACCAGAACGGACCUGACGGCAAGGGACGAAAGCUAGGGGCACGAACCGGAUUAGAUACCCGGGUAGUCCUAGCCGUAAACGAUACUCGCUAGGUGUCGGCCACGGUGCGACCGUUGUCGGUGCCGUAGGGAAGCCGUGAAGCGAGCCACCUGGGAAGUACGGCCGCAAGGCUGAAACUUAAAGGAAUUGGCGGGGGAGCAC
rnacentral:rRNA from 1 species